UCGAGAAUCUUUCGCAAUGGGGGAAACCCUGACGAAGCGACGCCGCGUGAGCGAUGAAGGUCUUCGGAUUGUAAAGCUCUGUCACGAGGGGCGAAACAGUUUUCGGUGAAUAAUCGAAAGCUUUGACGGUACCUCGAAAGGAAGCCCCGGCUAACUCUGUGCCAGCCGCCGCGGUAAUACCGAGGGGGCAAGCGUUGUUCGGAAUUACUGGGUGUAAAGGGUGCGUAGGCGGUUUGGUAAGUCAGAUGUGAAAUCUCGGAGCUCAACUCCGAAACUGCAUUUGAUACUGCCAGGCUAGAGUAUGAAAGAGGAAGAUGGAAUUCUCGGUGUAAGAGUGAAAUCUGCAGAUAUCGAGAGGAACACCAGUAGCGAAGGCGAUCUUCUGGUUCAAUACUGACGCUGAGUGCACGAAAGCUAGGGGAGCAAACG
rnacentral:rRNA from 1 species